rnacentral:lncRNA from 1 species
UUCGUUCUUGUCUACACUGUUUUCUCUGCCACUGAUCCUAAGAGGAGCGCAAGAGACUCCCAUGUUCCGGUAAGUAGCUGAUCAUUUCCCUUUUUACUGUUUUACUCAACUCAAUUCUAUAUUUCUCUCUUCGGUACUUGUUUAGGUAUGCGUCGUUUUCUUUGAUGACUAAGAGAGUUCUUAGUUUGUGGGGGACUCUACAAAUUAAAGUCUUUUUAAACGUGAAUAUGAUUUUUGAGGGUAUUUGCUCAUAUUACGGUGAAUGACACCUUCAUGUAGCGUUAUUUGUUAUUUGAUUAAUUUAUAAUUUGAACAUUAUUCACAAGAGGUUAUAGAAAUGUGACUGUCACAUAUUGUAUUGCUCGCUAAAAUAUUUCUGUUAAAAUAAUAUUGAUAAUUACCAUGUUACACGGUUAAAUUGAUGUUAUUUGUUUAAUGAAUGAAGGUCUUGGCACCACUCCCCAUUGGGUUUGCUGUGUUCAUGGUUCACUUGGCCACCAUCCCCAUCACCGGAACCGGCAUCAACCCAGCUAGGAGUUUUGGAGCUGCUGUGAUCUACAACAAGGAGAAAGCCUGGGAUGACCAAGUACUUCAAUUUUUUCACUAUACAAUUACUUUUUCUUAAUUAUUAGCGCGUGCGUGUGCGUGUGUUUUUGUGUGUAUACAUGAAUAUGACUAAUGUUGUUGUUUGAUGUUUUAACGGUACAGUGGAUCUUCUGGGUUGGACCAUUCAUUGGAGCUUUCGUUGCUGCAUUCUACCACCAAUACAUUCUCAGGGCAGCAGCCAUUAAGGCUCUUGGAUCCUUCAGGAGCAAUGCUUAAGCUUUAAAUAUGAUGUCUGGUGCUUCCAAGGUGAAAAAUUUACAGCAUGAUCAGGAGUGCAAGUCUGUUACGAAGGCCCUUUAAGAAAUCUCUUUUCAAGCUCUUUAGAGGGCCAUUGAAUUUGAGCUGAAUUAGAGGGCUAUUGAAUUGUAGAUAUUUGAACAUUAUGCAUUUUAUGCCUAUGCUUUAUCUAUGUGUAAGGGUGGAUUUUGGUAUCCCAUUUUAAUUUUUUUCUUUGGGUGUGUUUAUAAGUGGUGGUGGUGUUUUUUAUAUAUCCUAUUUCUCUAUAUUUUUCUUAUCCUUUCCUUUUUCUUUAUUUCAAGUGGUGUAUUUAUGUUGUUAAUGUUAAUUAAUCCCCAACUCUAGUGAAUAAAACUAUGACCUUUUUGUAGUUGCUUUAAUAACCUUGUCCUUUGCUUGAAGUAAUGACUGCUUUUAAUUGCGCUUUAACUAAAUAGUCUCCAAGAUUUUGUUUUAAAAGGAAAUGUGCCAACCAAAAAAAAAAAAACUUAUGGUUAGUGCUAAUUAAACUGCAAUAAUUAUUCUCUAUCGUCCUAUUGAGACAAGCGUCUUUUCUGAUAAUCUUCUCCCAAGGCUUCUUAUUUUCAAACCUGUGUGCCGAGUUGUUUACAUUCUAAUUAGUGGAACAUGUUCUCACUCUAGGCAUUCUUAUCCUCAACUAUUAAUUAAUUAAUUACCCAAAGGGGCAUCGAUCAAAGGGCUUUUAUCACCACAAAUUAAAAAUACAAAAAUAACCCAACAUGAGGUCAGAUGAGUUGGCUUUUGUAGCGCCACUUAUCAGAAAUGUGAUGAUGUAAUUGAUUCUUUAUUGAGAAAAUUAAAACAAAAGAAAACUGGUGGGUCGAUAGACCCCCUUAUGAUUCCUUAGCUUUUCAGGUGGUGGGUGUCUCUCUUUCUUCAUGGAUAUAAUUAAUGGAUACUUAAUCUUAUCUUGUCCUUAAAUCGUGGUCUCCAGAUCAUUUUCUAGAGUUGAGUAGUUGAUGUUUAAGCUGUUUGAUGAUGCAUAUUUAGGCUUAAAUUAAUGGGUAAGGUAGGAUUUUGUCCAUCUUUCUUGUCUUUUGACAGAGAUGUGUUUGUUUGGUUAAUCAUGUUUACUCUGAUCUUAAUCUUAUUUUUGGAAUAAUUCUGUGAGCAUAAAAAGAAAUUCUAAUCCCAUCAAAUUCAUGAAAAAAAAAAAAAAAUCCCAGUUUAGAAAUUCUAAUCCCAUCAAAUUCAUGGGAAUAAUUCUGUGAGCAUAAAAAGAAAUUCUAAUCCCAUCAAAUUCAUGAAAAAAAAAAAAAAAUCCCAGUUUAUGAUGUUACUGAUCUCGUCGCUCAUCAAUAGAUCUUUAUCCAAUGAAUUUGAAUUUCAUUUUAAAAUGAAAAAGAAAUAUGUGCGUACAUAUCCCAUCAUGAAGUAAAAUUUUCGUCUCCGAGAACUUUUAAGUUCAUGAUAUAAACAUUAUCCACAUUUUUUUUUCUUCCUAUGAGCAUAGGUAGGUUAAGGCAGCUAUAACAUUACUUGACCACAAAUUUUGCCGACCAAGAAUUAACGCAGGAAAAUUUCAAUUUCUUAUGGCCAUAAAUUUUAGUUGCGUAGCUAUGUCUAGCUUGUGUCUCGAUGUCAUUCAAUCAUUUUGAAGUAAAGACAAAACUUGCAGAUAAAAUUUUCAAAAGGCGACACCCAAAACAAUCAACCAUGUCAACAUCUGGUUACAUAAACAGCCGACUUUUGCUGAAUAAAAGAAUUGCAGAAGAAUGUAGUGGAGUCUUGUGUAUUUGAGACUAGCUAGAGGCUAGAAGAAUUCUGCAGAAUACACUCUGUUUUGCUUAAGACUCUAGAAUUUGCUUUUCUAUAUUUUCUACAACACUACUAAUUAGGAAAAAGAAAAAUAUAUACCCCCGAAAGCAUUUUCUUUUCUUUUUUAAAUCAAACUGAAAACAUUGCUCUCUGAGAAAAGCAAACUCGAUAGAUUAACUUUAUUUUAAUGGGAGAGAACAAGCAUGUUCCUCCCACAAAAUCUAAUUUUUAUUGGCCCAUAAGUGGAUUUUAGGCAUUUGAACAGCUUACGGGUCAAUAUUGUAGUCGUAGGAUGGUGGGCACUAAAGGUCCCCGAUAGAGAGAUAUUGGAUAAGUCUUGAGAGGUCCCUCUAAUGUAGGAGAAAUACUUGUCAGUAAUGGUGUGCAUAGAAACAUGUAAUAUGGGUUAAGUUUGAUAUAGGAUCCACUAAAAUUUAUAUCAUUAAAUUGGGUGGGUUCAAAAUAGGACCUAUAGACCUAUUUAGAUUUUUAUUGAUCGGUUACAUUACUCCUGCUUGAUUCAUUUUUCUUUUAAUCAUAGAUAAGUCUUAAUAGAUCUUCUAAAAUGAAAUGCCGAUAAAUGUCUUUAUAAAUCAUAAAUGAUCUAAUUAGAGAAAUUGCAGAUAAGAGUUUACAUAUGGAGGCAAAUCAACUAUGAGACCUCUUUUAUGAUAUUUUAUUAAAGAAAUUAUCUAAGAAAAAUUUGACACUAAUAAGUAGGGGACCAACAUUAGUAUUUAACAAUAUUAUUUUAUUUUCAUUGACUUCAUAUACAUUAUCACACCAUAUUGUAAGUUUUUUUUUUAGCCUUGUUUUUGGAUCCCAAAAAUUUAAUAAAGGUAAAUCCCGAAAGGUUGAUCUAUAACAAUUAAAGGAUGAAUGUUAAUAAGAAAAAAAAAAGGAUUAUGCAUGAAAUUAUGCAUUUUAAUACAUAAAUAAGUUCGCCUACAGAAACUCAGACGUGAAGUUCCUUGCAAGUUGCGAACAGAUAAUCAAAGUUACAAGAUUAAAGGCAUUGGCAUGUAGAAAUGCUUCAAGAAUAGGCAAUGGCACACCACACACAGUGGAUUCUUUAAUUACAAAUAAAAAAUUCUUGUGACUGAUGUGGAGGUGCCUUUGCCCUGCCCUUGCUAAAUCUUGUGAAGAAGCCCGUUAACUCAAACAAGGAUCUUGUGUACAUGUUAAAUGGGCCCGAGAUCAUCAAAAAGCGAUAAAGAGAGGUGUCACUUGUCAGCAUCACAACAUUGAUCAAAAUGUUUCAUUCGAAGCUUGUGAAAUUGCUGUAGGACAAGAGAAAAUGGCGUGAAAGGGUUGAGAUGAUUUUAAUAUUAGGGUGUAGGGAAGAGAAAAAAAGGCAUUAUUGAUUUCAGUUCCAGCAUGCUCACAGCUCAAUGCAGGCCACCAUUAUAAUUACAUUUCAUCAAACGUGUUGUUUCUACUAAUACAUUCUUUGCUGAUACUCCAAGCUAACAAAUCCCCACGCUUCUUCCAUUACUUUUUUCAACAAUACCAAUAAUGAAAAGAGAAAGCUUGAGUCAUUGGGAUUACAUUUGUAUUAAACUCUACGUAAUCACAGACUAGUUUUGUUCCCAGUUCAUGUACUCGUAAUACAAAUUAUGUUUUUGUAAAUGAUGGGGGUAAAAGAGUAUGAUCUUCUGCUCAUUUUACAUCAUGGGUAAUUUUCCCAGAGAGUAUGCCCGUGAAUGUAUGCAGAUACUCAUAAACAAAUUAGUGGAUUAAGUGAAUGAUUAAUGAAGCAAUGAGGACAAUAACUAAUGAACCUACUCUUUGGGUGUUU